rnacentral:rRNA from 1 species
UACGUAGGGUGCGAGCGUUGUCCGGAAUUAUUGGGCGUAAAGGGCUCGUAGGCGGUUUGUCGCGUCGGGAGUGAAUCAUCUGGCUUAACUGGGUGCUUGCUUUCGAUACGGGCAGACUAGAGGUAUGCAGGGGAGAACGGAAUUCCUGGUGUAGCGGUGAAAUGCGCAGAUAUCAGGAGGAACACCGGUGGCGAAGGCGGUUCUCUGGGCAC